rnacentral:rRNA from 1 species
UACGUAGGGCGCAAGCGUUAUCCGGAAUUAUUGGGCGUAAAGAGCUCGUAGGCGGUUUGUCGCGUCUGCCGUGAAAGUCCGGGGCUCAACUCCGGAUCUGCGGUGGGUACGGGCAGACUAGAGUGAUGUAGGGGAGACUGGAAUUCCUGGUGUAGCGGUGAAAUGCGCAGAUAUCAGGAGGAACACCGAUGGCGAAGGCAGGUCUCUGGGCAUUAACUGACGCUGAGGCGCGAAAGCCAGGGGAGCGAAUGGG